ACUGAAUGGCAGUUCAUGGUAACAGAUCUAGCUUCUGGCUAUGCUGCAGUUUGGAAAUUUGUAGCUUCUGGCAAGAAUUCUACACCUCUCAGGCAGAAGAGGAGAGAAGACAUCUAGCCUACUAUAUAACAUACACCGUCCUGGCUUUUAUAUUUUUAGUUCCAAUGCCCCACUUUAAAGAGAAGAAAUGGACUUCAAAUUAUGGAAAAAAUCGAGAGACUGGCUAAGAAGAUUUGAUACUUAAGUACACUUUCAGGAUCUGUGGGAUUUUAUCAACUAUGGAGACUGUAACAAUGGAGCAGAAUUACAUUUCAGGACUGUUGGGUUCUUGUCUUGACCUCAGCACCGAAUACCAUCUUUGGUUUACUGGGAGGGAUGAACAGCUGUUGUCAUAACACCUUAUUCUGUCCAAUGAAGAGCAGGGAAG